UUGAGGUUUACAUCGAUUAUACUUAAAAAAUCGAUGUUGUUUUGAUUAUAAAUUAAAAACCUGAAAUUGCACAUCCCGCGUGCUUGAACCCUAUCGUUCUUCUUCUUUCUCAUUCUGCCUGAGUUCGUCUUUGCCGCAAAUUGCCCUGCGCUUCCAUCACUGCAACCACGUUGUGGAGUUCGUCUCUACCACUUAUCGAUUGAGGUACGUUCUUUCAUUUUAACAUUAUGCGUUCCUCGUUUUAACAUUUGGUCACUUUCACAGCUCGAAGAAAGCUAGGAAAGGAAAGAGUCCCGGAAAGGGUGGGAAUCGAUUUUGGAAGUCCAUUGUGGUUGGCUUUAAGACUCCCAGGGAAGCCAUCGAAGAUUCCAUUAGGAGUAAUUUUAGCCAUUGUUGAUCCUGUGGUCAUUGCUGUUUCAAAAAGUGGUCCUACGGUCAUUGCUGGAAAGUCAAUUGUGCUGAAGCCUCGAACUCAGGAAGUAGUUGCAGAAGUGGUUCAAAAUUCAAUAUCCACGCGAAGCAUCAGCUUUGUUUAUUGAGUGCUCUCUCCUUACUGUUGAUUUAUAAUUCACUAGCUGCAUCAUCUUUGAUCUCAUCAUUUGAUAAAGGAUCAUGGCUUCUCCACCAGCCUCGCCUCCUCCUCCUUCCGACACUUCAGCUUCGCAGUCUGGCAUGAAGCAGACACAAAAAGCCUCACGUCUACGCUCCUUGUCUACUAGACCAGCUAGUGCUGAGAGACUAGUGGUCCACGUUGAUCUUGUUACUGGCAAGACCGACGGUCCCCACAAGAAGAAAUUAAGAACAUAUUUGGGGAUUGUGGUGCGUGAUAAGGUGGACGUGACGUUUGAGAACUGGAAGGA